rnacentral:rRNA from 1 species
GAGUUUGAUCGUGGCUCAGGACGAACGCUGGCGGCGUGCUUAACACAUGCAAGUCGAGCGAUCGGCCAGGGAGGGGUAACCCUCCUUGGUACGGAGCGGCGAACGGGGUGAGUAACACGUGGGCAACCUGCCCCAGGCUCUGGAAUAACCCCGGGAAACCGGGCUAAUGCCGGAUACUCUCGGAACCCCGCAUGGGGAUCCGAGGAAAGCUCCGACGGCCUGGGAUGGGCCCGCGGCCUAUCAGCUUGUUGGCGGGGUAACGGCCCACCAAGGCGACGACGGGUAGCUGGCGUGAGAGCGUGACCAGCCACACUGGGACUGAGACACGGCCCAGACUCCUACGGGAGGCAGCAGUGGGGAAUCUUGCACAAUGGGCGAAAGCCUGAUGCAGCGACGCCGCGUGAGGGAUGAAGGCUCUCGGGUUGUAAACCUCUUUCGGCAGGGAAGAAGCGAAAGUGACGGUACCUGCAGAAGAAGUCCCGGCCAACUACGUGCCAGCCGCCGCAGU